UACGUAGGGCGCAAGCGUUAUCCGGAAUUAUUGGGCGUAAAGGGCGCGUAGGCGGUUCGAUAAGUCAGCUGUGAAAACCACGGGCUUAACUCGUGGCCUGCAGUUGAGACUGUCUGGCUUGAGUGUGGGAGAGGAGAGUGGAAUUCCUGGUGUAGCGGUGAAAUGCGUAGAUAUCAGGAGGAACACCGGUGGCGAAGGCGGCUCUCUGGACCACAACUGACGCUGAGGCGCGAAAGCUAGGGGAGCAAACAGG
rnacentral:rRNA from 1 species